AGAGUUUGAUCCUGGCUCAGAUUGAACGCUGGCGGCAUGCCUUACACAUGCAAGUCGGACGGCAGCGCGGGAGCAAUCCUGGCGGCGAGUGGCGAACGGGUGAGUAAUACAUCGGAACAUGUCCAGUAGUGGGGGAUAGCCCGGCGAAAGCCGGAUUAAUACCGCAUACGGUCUAUGGAUGAAAGCGGGGGAUCGCAAGACCUCGCGCUAUUGGGGUGGCCGAUGGCGGAUUAGCUAGUUGGUGGGGUAAAGGCCUACCAAGGCGACGAUCCGUAGCUGGUCUGAGAGGACGACCAGCCACACUGGGACUGAGACACGGCCCAGACUCCUACGGGAGGCAGCAGUGGGGAAUUUUGGACAAUGGGGGCAACCCUGAUCCAGCAAUGCCGCGUGUGUGAAGAAGGCCUUCGGGUUGUAAAGCACUUUUGUCCGGGAAGAAAUCCCCUGCCCUAAUACGGCGGGGGGAUGACGGUACCGGAAGAAUAAGCACCGGCUAACUACGUGCCAGCAGCCGCGGUAAA
rnacentral:rRNA from 1 species